UACGGGGGGGGCAAGCGUUGUUCGGAAUUACUGGGCGUAAAGGGCUCGUAGGCGGCCAACUAAGUCAGACGUGAAAUCCCUCGGCUUAACCGGGGAACUGCGUCUGAUACUGGAUGGCUUGAAUCCGGGAGAGGGAUGCGGAAUUCCAGGUGUAGCGGUGAAAUGCGUAGAUAUCUGGAGGAACACCGGUGGCGAAGGCGGCAUCCUGGACCGGUACUGACGCUGAUGCGCGAAAGCGUGGGGAGCAAACAGG
rnacentral:rRNA from 1 species